rnacentral:rRNA from 1 species
AUUGAACGCUGGCGGCAUGCUUUACACAUGCAAGUCGAACGGUAACAGGGUGCUUGCACCGCUGACGAGUGGCGAACGGGUGAGUAAUGCGUCGGAACGUGCCGAGUAGUGGGGGAUAACGCAGCGAAAGUUGUGCUAAUACCGCAUACGUACUGAGGUAGAAAGUGGGGGACCUUCGGGCCUCACGCUAUUCGAGCGGCCGACGUCUGAUUAGCUAGUAGGUGAGGUAAAGGCUCACCUAGGCGACGAUCAGUAGCGGGUCUGAGAGGAUGGUCCGCCACACUGGGACUGAGACUCGGCGCAGACUCCUACGGGAGGCAGCAGUGGGGAAUUUUGGACAAUGGGCGAAAGCCUGAUCCGGCCAUGCCGCGUGUCUGAAGAAGGCCUUCGGGUUGUAAAGGACUUUUGUCAGGGAGGAAAUCCCUAGCGUUAAUACCGCUGGGGGAUGACAGUACCUGAAGAAUAAGCACCGGCUAACUACGUGCCAGCCGCCGCCGUAAAAC